ensembl:snoRNA SNORD115 Small nucleolar RNA SNORD115
GGUUUGAUGAUAAGACCUCAUACUGUCUCCAAGUCACAUGAUAACUUAAAACUCAUACUCAAUAGGAAUACACUGAGGCCC